UUUUUUGGAGACAGUGUCUUGCCCUGUCACCCAGGCUGGAGUGCAGUGGUGUGAUCUUGGUUCACUGCAGCCUCGACUUCCUGGGUUCAAGUGAUCCUUCUGCCUCAGCCUCCCAAAUAGCUGGGACUAUAGGCAUGCAUCACCACACCCAGCUAAUUUCUGUAUUUUUUGUAGAGACACCGUUUCACCAUGUUGCCCAGGCUGGUCUCAAAACUCCUGUGCUCAAGCAGUCUGCCCGCCUUGGCUUCCCAAAGUGCUGACAUUACAGGUAUGAGCCACUGCACCCGGUCCCUAGUAGGGUAUUUUUAACUUGGCAAAAAGGGUAUUAAUCAGAAACAUACACUAUCCAUCACUGAGUAUUAUACUCUUGAUUUUGCAAUGUAAGAGUUUUAACCUAUUUGUCUGACAGAAGGUGUAAAAGUGCUGGACAUGCUGCAGAAAGAAACAGGAAAAGCAUCUUGCUGCACUCCAAAGAAUGCAAAUUUUAAUGUGCCUUCCAAUAAAUGCAAGGAAACCGAAAGAGUUAAUAGUAUCAUACAAUGACUGGGAUGUAUUGAUAAUGCUACAGUGAUCCAUUAACAGCACUUGUUCAGGUUUUUUUCUUCUACUACACAGCUGUGUAGUUCCGUUAUGGCUUUAUCUCCAUCAACAGCAAUGCCUAGGAGGGAGUCAAACAGAUUCCAAGUGAGAAAAGGAGUUAACAUGCCAUUGCUGCUUUGAAGAUGGAAGGAGCCUGUGGCGAGGAUAUGAAGGGCCUCUAGAAGCUGUGAGCAGCCCCCAGCUCACAGCCAGCAAGCAAACAAGGACCUCAGCUCAGCAACAGCAAGGACGUGAAUCCUGCCAAUAACAGAAAUGAGCUUGAAAGAAGACACCAAGCUCCAGGUAAGAAAGCAGCCAGCCAACACUUAGAGCCUUGUGAAACUCUAAGCAGAGAACCCACCCAUGCUAUUCUAGACUUCUGACUACAGAACUGUGAGAUAUUAAA
rnacentral:lncRNA from 1 species